GACGAACGCUGGCGGCGUGCUUAACACAUGCAAGUCGAACGGAAAGGCCCUGCUUUUGUGGGGUGCUCGAGUGGCGAACGGGUGAGUAACACGUGAGUAACCUGCCCUUGACUUUGGGAUAACUUCAGGAAACUGGGGCUAAUACCGGAUAGGAGCUCCUGCUGCAUGGUGGGGGUUGGAAAGUUUCGGCGGUUGGGGAUGGACUCGCGGCUUAUCGGCUUGUUGGGGGGGUAGUGGCUUACCCAGGCUUUGACGGGUGGCCGGCCUGAGAGGGUGACCGGCCACAUGGGGACUAAGAUACGGCCCAGACUCCUACGGGAGGCAGCGGUGGGGAAUAUUGCCCAAUGGGCGGAAGCCUGAUGCAGCAACGCCGCGUGCGGGAUGACGGCCUUCGGGUUGUAAACCGCUUUCGCCUGUGACGAAGCGUGAGUGACGGUAAUGGGUAAAGAAGCACCGGCUAACUACGUG
rnacentral:rRNA from 1 species